UUUAAAGAGAGUUUGAUCCUGGCUCAGGACGAACGCUGGCGGCGUGCCUAAUACAUGCAAGUCGAACGAACGGAGGAAGAGCUUGCUCUUCCAAUGUUAGUGGCGGACGGGUGAGUAACACGUGGGCAACCUGCCUGUAAGUUGGGGAUAACUCCGGGAAACCGGGGCUAAUACCGAAUGAUAAAGUGUGGCGCAUGCCACGCUUUUGAAAGAUGGUUUCGGCUAUCGCUUACAGAUGGGCCCGCGGUGCAUUAGCUAGUUGGUAGGGUAAUGGCCUACCAAGGCAACGAUGCAUAGCCGACCUGAGAGGGUGAUCGGCCACACUGGGACUGAGACACGGCCCAGACUCCUACGGGAGGCAGCAGUAGGGAAUCUUCCGCAAUGGACGAAAGUCUGACGGAGCAACGCCGCGUGUAUGAAGAAGGUUUUCGGAUCGUAAAGUACUGUUGUUAGAGAAGAACAAG
rnacentral:rRNA from 1 species